UAUGGCCAUAUCAUAUUAAAACACCGGUUCUCCUGUGACCAGCUAAGUUAAGCAACGUUGGACCUGGUCAGUACCUAGAUGGGUGACCGUUUGGGAAUACCAGAUGCUGUAAG